UACGUAGGGUGCGAGCGUUAAUCGGAAUUACUGGGCGUAAAGUGUGCGCAGGCGGCCGCGCAAGUCGAGUGUGAAAUCCCCGAGCUUAACUUGGGAAUUGCGCUCGAAACUACGUGGCUGGAGUGUGGCAGAGGAAGGUGGAAUUCCACGUGUAGCGGUGAAAUGCGUAGAGAUGUGGAGGAACACCGAUGGCAAAGGCAGCCUUCUGGGCCAACACUGACGCUCAUGCACGAAAGCGUGGGGAGCAAACAGG
rnacentral:rRNA from 1 species